rnacentral:rRNA from 1 species
UGGGGAAUUUUGGACAAUGGGCGCAAGCCUGAUCCAGCAAUGCCGCGCGCAGGAUGAAGGCCUUCGGGUUGUAAACUGCUUUUGUACGGAGCGAAAAGGUCUGCCCUAAUACGGUGGGCUCAUGACGGUACCGUAAGAAUAAGCACCGGCUAACUACGUGCCAGCAGCCGCGGUAAUACGUAGGGUGCGAGCGUUAAUCGGAAUUACUGGGCGUAAAGCGUGCGCAGGCGGUUAUAUAAGACAGAUGUGAAAUCCCCGGGCUCAACCUGGGACCUGCAUUUGUGACUGUAUAGCUAGAGUACGGUAGAGGGGGAUGGAAUUCCGCGUGUAGCAGUGAAAUGCGUAGAUAUGCGGAGGAACACCGACGGCGAAGGCAAUCCCCUGGACCUGUACUGACGCUCACGCACGAAAGCGUGGGGAGCAAACA